AUUGAACGCUGGCGGCAGGCCUAACACAUGCAAGUCGAACGAGUCGCGGACGGGUGAGUAAUGUCUGGGCAACUGCCUGGUGGAGGGGGAUCACUACUGGAAACUGUAGCUACUACCGUCUACCAUCGGCUGUGUCCAGGUGGGAUUUGCUAGUAGGUGGGGUAAAGGCCGACCUAGGCGACGAUCCCUAACUGGUCUGAGAGGAUGACCAGCCACACUGGAACUGAGACACGGUCCAGACUCCUACGGGAGGCAGCAGUGGGGAAUAUUGGACAAUGGGCGCAAGCCUGAUGCAGCCAUGCCGCGUGUAUGAAGAAGGCCUUCGGGUUGUAAAGUACUUUCAGCGGGGAGGCGUUACCCGCAGAAGAAGCACCGGCUAACUCCGUGCCAGCAGCCGCGGUAAUUC
rnacentral:rRNA from 1 species